UGAACGCUGGCGGUAUGCUUAACACAUGCAAGUCGAACGGAAACGAUACUAGCUUGCUAGUAGGCGUCGAGUGGCGGACGGGUGAGUAACGCGUAGGAAUCUGCCUGAUAGUGGGGGAUAGCCCGAAGAAAUUCGGAUUAAUACCGCAUAAUCUAUUCGUAGUAAAGUGGGGGACUUUCGAGCCUCACGCUAUCAGAUGAGCCUGCGUAAGAUUAGCUAGUUGGUAGGGUAAAAGCCUACCAAGGCAACGAUCUUUAGCUGGUCUGAGAGGAUGAUCAGCCACAUCGGGACUGAGACACGGCCCGAACUCCUACGGGAGGCAGCAGUGGGGAAUAUUGGACAAUGGGGGCAACCCUGAUCCAGCAAUACCGCGUGUGUGAAGAAGGCCUGAGGGUUGUAAAGCACUUUCAAUUGUGAAGAAAAGUUAACGGUUAAUAACCGUUAGCCUUGACGUUAACUUUAGAAGAAGCACCGGCUAACUCCGUGCCAGCAGCCGCGGUAAUACGGAGGGUGCAAGCGUUAAUCGGAAUUACUGGGCGUAAAGCGUGCGUAGGCGGUUUAUUAAGUCAGAUGUGAAAGCCCCGGGCUUAACCUGGGAACUGCAUUUGAAACUGGUCAACUAGAGUAUGGUAGAGGAAAGUGGAAUUUCUGGUGUAGCGGUGAAAUGCGUAGAUAUCAGAAAGGAACACCAAUGGCGAAGGCAGCUUUCUGGACCAAUACUGACGCUGAGGUACGAAAGCGUGGGUAGCAAACAGGAUUAGAUACCCUGGUAGUCCACGCCGUAAACGAUGAUAACUAGCCGUUGGAGGGAUUUACCCUUUAGUGGCGAAGCUAACGCGUUAAGUUAUCCGCCUGGGGAGUACGGCCGCAAGGUUAAAACUCAAAGGAAUUGACGGGGACCCGCACAAGCGGUGGAGCAUGUGGUUUAAUUCGAUGCAACGCGAAGAACCUUACCUGGUCUUGACAUCCUGCGAACUUUCUAGAAAUAGAUUGGUGCCUUCGGGAACGCAGUGACAGGUGCUGCAUGGCUGUCGUCAGCUCGUGUCGUGAGAUGUUGGGUUAAGUCCCGUAACGAGCGCAACCCCUAUCCUUAUUUGCCAGCACGUCAUGGUGGGAACUAUAAGGAGACUGCCGGUGAUAAACCGGAGGAAGGCGGGGACGACGUCAAGUCAUCAUGGCCCUUACGACCAGGGCUACACACGUGCUACAAUGGGAAGGACAAAGAGCCGCGAAGCCGCGAGGUGUAGCUAAUCUCAGAAACCUUUUCGUAGUCCGGAUUGGAGUCUGCAACUCGACUCCAUGAAGUCGGAAUCGCUAGUAAUCGUAGAUCAGAAUGCUACGGUGAAUACGUUCCCGGGUCUUGUACACACCGCCCG
rnacentral:rRNA from 1 species